rnacentral:tRNA from 2 species
GGCCCGGUCGUCUAGCGGUUAGGACAUCGCCCUUUCACGGCGAAGGUCGCGGGUUCGAAUCCCGUCCGGGCUACCA